rnacentral:rRNA from 1 species
AUUGAACGCUGGCGGCAGGCCUAACACAUGCAAGUCGAGCGAGCGGCGGACGGGUGAGUAAUGUAUGGGGACUGCCCGAUAGAGGGGGAUAACUACUGGAAACGGUAGCUAAUACCGCAUACUAUCGGAUAACCCAUAUGGGAUUAGCUAGUAGGUGAGUUAAUGGCUCACCUAGGCGACGAUCCCUAGCUGGUCUGAGAGGAUGAUCAGCCACACUGGGACUGAGACAGGGACCAGACGCCUAUGGAGGCAUGAGUGGGGAAUAUUGAACAAUGGGCGCAAGCCGGAGGCAGCAAUGCCGCGUGAAUGAAGAAGGCCCUAGGGUUGUAAAGUACUUUCAGUCGGGAGGCGUUACCGACAGAAGAAGCACCGGCUAACUCCGUGCCAGCAGCCGCGGUAAUUC